CUCUUCCGAUCUGGUUGAAGUGGAAGUAAAAUUCCAUGGAGGACCGAACCGACCUCCGUUGAAAAGGCGGCGGAUGAACUGUGGGUAGCGGAGAAAUUCCAAUCGAACCCGGAGAUAGCUGGUUCUCCCCGAAAUAGUUUUAGGACUAGCCUCAAGUUAGAUACCUGGAGGUAAAGCACUGAAUAGCCUAGCGGCCGAGAGGUUAGCGAAGCUUAUCAAACUCAGAAUGCCAGAGUAUUGAUGCUUGGGAGUCAGACAGUGUCAGAUAAAUGUCAUUGUCAAAAGGGAAACAGCCCAGAUCUACAGCUAAGGUCCCAAAGUCAGGUUAAGUGGAAAACGAUGUGAAGAUACGCAGACAACCAGGAUGUUGGCUCAGAAGCAGCCACUCAUUCAAAGAGUGCGUAAUAGCUCACUGGUCGAGCGUCUUUGCGCGGAGAAUUUAACGGGGCUAAACCUGACACCGAAGCUUAGGCAAUCCAGUAAUGGAUUGGGUAGGGGAGCGUUGUAUACGCGGAGAAACAGUAGCGUAAGCGGCUGUGGAGUGUAUAGAAGUGAGAAUGCCGGAAUGAGUAGCGCGAAUGCAGUGAGAAUCUGCAUGGCCGAAAGCCUCAGGUUUUUGGAGGAAGGUUCGUCCGCUCCAAGUUAGUCGGGAGCUAAGGUGAGGCCGAAAGGCGUAGCCGAUGCACAGACGGUAGAGAUUCCGUCACCACCAAAAGAGUUAAGCACAGGGACACAUUUGAAGUCUCAGAGCCGGGUGUUGGUUCCGGUAGAGAUCGAGGGAAGUUAGUACCGAAGUCUGGGAUGGAGGAUGGCGAGAAAAGCUGUGUGUAUUUCUGAGGUGCCCGUACCGCAAACCGACACAGGUAGGUAGGAAGAAGAUUCUAAGGCCAACGGGAGAAGGGUUGUUAAGGAACUCGGCAAAUUGACCCCGUAACUUCGGGAGAAGGGGUGCUCCAGAGAUGGAGCCGCAGAGAAUCGGCCCAAGCAACUGUUUACCAAAAACACAGGUUUGUGCUAAAUCGAAAGAUGACGUAUACGAGCUGACGCCUGCCCGGUGCUGGAAGGUUAAGAGGAGAUGUGCAAGCAUUGAAUCGAAGCCCCAGUGAACGGCGGCCGUAACUAUAACGGUCCUAAGGUAGCGAAAUUCCUUGUCAGGUAAGUUCUGACCCGCAUGAAAGGCGUAAUGAUUUGGGCACUGUCUCAACAGCCCGCCCGGCGAAAUUGUAGUACCGGUGAAGAUGCCGGUUACCCGCGACAAGACGGAAAGACCCCAUGGAGCUUUACUGUAGCCUAAUAUUGGGUUUCGAUGUUGCAUGCACAGGAUAGAUGGGACACUAGGAAACAAUCGCUUUGGCGGUUGCGGAGUGGCCGUUGGGAUACCAUCCUUGCGAUAUUGGAAUUCUAACCUGCGGCUCUGAAUCGAGUCGGGGGACAUUGUUAGGUGGGCAGUUUGACUGGGGCGGUCGCCUCCUAAAAAGUAACGGAGGCGUUCAAAGGUUCGCUCAGCUUGAACGGAAAUCAAGCAAAAGAGUGCAAACGCAGAAGCGAGCCUAACUGCGAGACUGACGGGUCGAGCAGUAACGAAAGUUGGAGUUAGUGAUCCGGUGGUAUGUGAGUGGAAAUGCCAUCGCUCAACGGAUAAAAGUUACCCUGGGGAUAACAGGCUGAUCUCCCCCAAGAGUCCACAUCGACGGGGAGGUUUGGCACCUCGAUGUCGGCUCAUCGCAUCCUGGGGCUGUAUUCGGUCCCAAGGGUUUGGCUGUUCGCCAAUUAAAGCGGUACGCGAGCUGGGUUCAGAACGUCGUGAGACAGUUCGGUCCCUAUCUGUCGUGGGCGCGGGAUAUUUGAUGGGAGCUGUCCCUAGUACGAGAGGACCGGGACGGACGUACCUCUGGCGCACCAGUUGUUCCGCCAGGAGCAUAGCUGGGCAACUACGUACGGAUCGGAUAAACGCUGAAAGCAUCUAAGCGUGAAGCCGACCCAAAGAUAAGAUAUCCCACUGAUUUGAUCAGGUAAGACCCCUUGAAGACUACAAGGUCGAUAGGCACGAUGUGUAAGUGGAGCGAUCCAUUCAGCAAGCGUGUACUAAUAGGUCGAGGGCUUGACCAC
rnacentral:rRNA from 1 species